CUAAAAUUAUGCUAAAUAUUUAAAUCAAUGUACAUAUAUCAAACUACUGUUUCUAAAUGAAAUUCAUUUUAAGCAUCAAGUGUUCCUUCUUACAGUUAAUAGGAAACCAGAAUUCUGGCCAGGAAAAAACACUUCAGCUUCAGCCUCCCUGACAGGUAGUAAACUGCUGCAUUGGAAAAGACCUCACAGACUCUCCCUGAGGAUGCAUUUGCACUGGUUUGAGAGAUAUUUUAGACUUACAUAAACAAAAGAGAGAAAUUUGACAGCUGUAUCAAAAUGCAGUCAUGACAACAAGACAUUGCAAAGACAGCAAGAUUCUACAUUCUGCUUUCAGAGCCAUCUCGCUGCUUCAGAAGAAGCAAAUGGCUGUGACCCGGCAGUUUCCGACGCUGUAGUGGUGGUUUGAGGGCUGGAAGACUAAUGUUUCUCCGCUGCCAGAGGG